UACAGAGGUCUCAAGCGUUGUUCGGAUUCAUUGGGCGUAAAGGGUGCGUAGGCGGCGCGGUAAGUCGGGUGUGAAAUCUCGGGGCUUAACUCCGAAACUGCAUUCGAUACUGGCGUGCUUGAGGACUGGAGAGGAGACUGGAAUUCAUGGUGUAGCAGUGAAAUGCGUAGAGAUCAUGAGGAAGACCAGUGGCGAAGGCGGGUCUCUGGACAGUUACUGACACUGAGACACGAAGGCCAGGGGAGCAAACGGG
rnacentral:rRNA from 1 species